rnacentral:tRNA from 1 species
GAGUUAGUAGCUCAGCGGAAAAGAGUUCAUGGUUCCGGACCAUGAGGUCAAGGGUUCAAAUCCCUUCUAGCUCG